rnacentral:rRNA from 1 species
GCCUGACGCAGCGACGCCGCGUGGGGGAUGAAGGUCUUCGGAUUGUAAACCCCUUUCGGGAGGGAAGAUGGGAUGGGGUAACCCAUUCGGACGGUACCUCCAGAAGCAGCCACGGCUAACUUCGUGCCAGCAGCCGCGGUAAUACGAAGGUGGCAAGCGUUGUUCGGAUUUACUGGGCGUACAGGGAGCGUAGGCGGUUGGGUAAGCCCUCCGUGAAAUCUCCAGGCUUAACCUGGAAAAGUGCAGAGGGGGACUGCUCAGCUAGAGGAUGGGAGAGGAGCGCGGAAUUCCCGGUGUAGCGGUGAAAUGCGUAGAGAUCGGGAGGAAGGCCGGUGGCGAAGGCGGCGCUCUGGAACAUUUCUGACGCUGAGGCUCGAAAGCGUGGGGAGCAAACAGGAUUAGAUACCCUGGUAGUCCACGCCUUAAACGAUGGAUACUAAGUGUCGGCGGGUUACCGCCGGUGCCGCAGCUAACGCAGUAAGUAUCCCGCCUGGGAAGUACGGCCGCAAGGUUG